ACCUUGUGCAAACAUUUGUAGAUAUCUCUCCCAGAAAAAUGGAUUUAGUUCAAAUUUAGUAAUUAGCAAAUGUGUGAUGAUGACAAUAAGUCUAUGAAUAUUAUUCUAUGAAUAUUGUGCCUUGUUCCAAUGUAAAAAUGACAGAAUUUUGGGAUUUAUGACCUUCUAAUUACUUUUAAAAACUCGUAUCAGCAUGUGGGAAAUGGCAUUUCCG